rnacentral:rRNA from 1 species
ACGGGAGGCAGCAGUGGGGAAUAUUGCACAAUGGGGGAAACCCUGAUGCAGCGACGCCGCGUGAGUGAAGAAGUAUUUCGGUAUGUAAAGCUCUAUCAGCAGGAAAGAAAAUGACGGUACCUGACUAAGAAGCCCCGGCUAACUACGUGCCAGCAGCCGCGGUAAUACGUAGGGGGCAAGCGUUAUCCGGAUUUACUGGGUGUAAAGGGUGUGUAGGCGGGACUGCAAGUCAGAUGUGAAAAUUACGGGCUCAACUCGUAACCUGCAUUUGAAACUGUGGUUCUUGAGAGUCGGAGAGGUAAAUGGAAUUCCUGGUGUAGCGGUGAAAUGCGUAGAUAUCAGGAGGAACACCGGUGGCGAAGGCGAUUUACUGGACGACAACUGACGCUGAGACACGAAAGUAUGGGGAGCAAACAGGAUUAGAUACCCUGGUA